AUUGAACGCUGGCGGCAGGCCUAACACAUGCAAGUCGAGCGGAGCGGCGGACGGGUGAGUAAUGCCUAGGAAUCUGCCUGGUAGUGGGGGAUAACGUCCGGAAACGGGCGCUAAUACCGCAUACUAUCAGAUGAGCCUAGGUCGGAUUAGCUAGUUGGUGGGGUAACGGCCUACCAAGGCGACGAUCCUUAACUGGUCUGAGAGGAUGACCAGUCACACUGGAACUGAGACACGGUCCAGACUCCUACGGGAGGCAUCAGUGGGGAAUAUUGGACAAUGGGCGAAAGCCUGAUCCAGCCAUGCCGCGUGUAUGAAGAAGGUCUUCGGGUUGUAAAGCACUUUAAGCUGGGAGGCGUUACCAGCAGAAUAAGCACCGGCUAACUUCGUGCCAGCCGCCGCGGUAAUUC
rnacentral:rRNA from 1 species